GCGCGCGAGGGGAGCAUGAGGCGCUCGCCCGCGGGGCGGGGGCUGAGCCUGAGGGGAACGCUGAGGGAAGCCUUGAAACCCCGGUUAUGGCAUGUAUUACGGUACAACAUCAGCUUCAGAUGUAGCUGCAGCCCACAGAACAAUACACCAUGACAACAGCUGAAAGACAGGAAAUAGGUUGAAAUAGGAAAAACAACAGCUUUCAGACCUGGCUACAGGACCAGUGUUUCUGCUGUCUCUUGCAGAUCACAGAUCAGAAGCCAAACUUCAAAUGCUUCAGUUAUGUGUAAGCCAUUGCCCCUUGUGGUAUCACUUGUGAAAAGUCCUUCUCAAGGCUUCCUGGAGGCCCCCUUUCAGUGCUGGAAGGUGCUAUAUGGUGUCUGUGGGCCUUUCUCCAAGCUGAACAACCCCAGCUCUCUCAGGCUGUCCUCAGAGUCUCCAGCCUUAUGGAGCCUAGGGUGCUCUAGACCUCUGACCAGCUCUGUGUCCCUCCUCUGGACCCAUUCCACAGGUCUGUGUCUUUCCUGUGCUGAGCACUCCAGACCUGGACACAGCACUCCAGGGCAAGGGUGAGAAUCACUCCCUCGACCUGCUGGCCACAUUUUAUUGGAUCUACCAGUUUACCACCGAUUCUGUUGUAGUAUGGCCAAUAUGGGAACUACACAGAAUCACAGAAUAUUCUGAGUUGGGAGGGACCCUAAAGGAUCAUUAAGUCUAACUCUUAAAUGAAUGGGGUUGAAGCAAAAAACCCUAAAAAUCUAAUUAUUUAAUAGAACCAACUUCUGAUGAACAUCAUAAUGCACCAGUGGAAAAACCUAUGGUUUGUUUGAUCCAUCAAUAGCUCCAUGCUUGACUGAAACUCAAUACUGAACACACAAAUCUCUGCUUGCUAAAGCUAUUCUCAAGCAAUACAAUUUCACUGGGCCCCUAUCUGUUUCAGCAUUGAGAUACCUACAGCUGCAACAAGGGGUCCUCCAACACCACCACUUGACCACCUAAGCUUCUGUGUCUGUGGCAGGAACCGUUCUGAUCAAAUUUCUUGCAAGGAUGAAUCCAUGUAAAUUACAGUUAAAUCAAAUGUAGAUGCCUGUGAAGAAGUAAUGGAUUUCCUUUGUAGGAAGGAGUAAAACUGAAACAACCUGUAUACCUUGCAAAAAUAAAAACAGUUGUAAAAUAUUUGUAAUCAAGGUAUGUGAACUCAAGUACAACUGCCACAGAAGUUCCCUUGGUUGGCAAAAAUUGGGAGCUAUAGCAGGCAAAAAUGAGCAAAUAUAUGUUACUGUUGCUGCCAUUAAGUGAUGCUAAAGAACAGCAACCCACCAUAACCUCCCUACUUUGUGAAAUCAAGAGUUUAAGAAGGGGCAACAGAGAUCAUGCAAGGCCGUAGGUUUGCUUAAGACCCAGCCUAAACAAGAGAAUAUUGACAGGGAGGGGGAUUUAGGAAAAGGCAUAGUACUGGAAGAUACAAUGGAAACUUAGCUGACUUUCAGUAGGUCUCAUUCUGCACAGCUCCCAAGCCUUCACUCUUUCAUUCUAAACAAGGACAACCAACCAUACAAAUAUGGGGAGCAAAUUCAUUCUGCUUCUGAGCUGAUUUUAAAGGUAAACUGGCAGUAUUAGGCAAAAUGCACAAGAAACCAGAAAAAACCACCCCAGCCAGAAGGAGACAUGAACAUACUUUGUGUAAGGGGUUGGCAGCAUAACUGCAUGACAGGAUGCUCCCAAAUAGUAGCCAGCCUGACAUUUUCAUAGUGGUUGGGAUGUUUCUUCUGUAGCUGACCAACCCGUUACAGGUAACACACAACUGUUAUGUGUGAUAAGACAUAAACUGGCAAAGCCCAACUAUACUUCCUCCAGUUCUUCAACCUGUUAAAAAGGUGCUGUGCUCACCCCAAACCUACUCAGCUAUGGCAUCUUUUCUUACCAGCAUCCUGGACAAUGAGACAUCAAGGGUAGAGAGGGUUCCUGGCAGUCAAACUACUAUCAGCUCCACAGUGCUUUGCAAUCUGGACAAGAAACAUGGCCCGGCUGUCAAAUUCUCAUACAGCUGACAUACACCUUCCCCUGCUACUAAGGUUAUGGAAACACUGAGAUCCACCAAUUCACAUACAGAUGAUAAAAAAAAAAUGCCCACUUGCGUCAGGGGAAGGAGGCACAACUGGAGUUGUGGAAGCCCUGCCUGCCUGACCCACUUGGGGGAACACAUUUAAUUGUUUUCUAGGUAUCUGUAACACAAACAUCUAUAUAGCAGGACAUGGCCAUGGAAACAACUAGGAGCUUUUGUUCCAGGUUCUCCAAAACAAGGUUGUUCAAAGAACAAGACCAAUCCAGAGAUCUUGAUGCCCAGAGUUACUUGUACUUACCUUCACACUAAAUGAAAAGGAAAGCAGCUCUCAUUAAAGGGCUGUCUGAACUAUGACUUAGAAGGAUCAUCCACCCCAGGAAAACAGCUUCUCCCUCUAGAGGCAGGAUUCACUUACAAUUUCUUCCCCAUUUUAUCAUCUGCUCUCAUUGCUUGGUGCUGGUUUGGCAAGCCCUAACCUUGCUCUCGAGCACACUGGUCAUAAAUACCCACGAUGGUGGGCAAUGUUUAGUUGUUGCAUUGACCCCCUUUCCCUUGCAACGUGAAUGACAUUUCUGCAAACCAAGCCCCACCUGCCACUGCACCCACUGAGGCUGCCAGAGCAGCACCGAGUAUGAACCUGCAAGCAGAAGCAGCAGGGUCACAGAAUGGCUGCAGGUGAAAGUGUGUGGAGACUAUGUUCAAUUUUUGCUGGUACAGCCAGAAAUGCUUGUAGAGCAUAGCACCCAGUGACAACACCUGUGAAUUCUGGAGGAAAGAGCUGUAUUAGUGCCAUUGGUCAUCAGCUGCUUCCUGGACACUCCAGACUUUAAGACAAGCCCCUAAUAACCUAUCUCUCUCUCCUUUAACCCAUUUUAUGAUACAAUACAAUUAAAGACCCCACAAGACAAGUCCCUGCAGCUAUGAGCAUACGCACCAAGGUGUUUGUGUAGCCUUCCCUGAACUGAGGGCCAAGGUAUGACAGUCUGAGCCGUGGACUGCACAGACAGAUCCACCCAUGUUCAAAAACCAUACACACCCUGGCAUGACACAAGGCUUUUCCCAGGGACUGACAAAGUUACAAGUAUUAGGUUCAAUUCUACACUUAAUUCUCUCCAUUAAUGCUUUCACAUAAUGAAAUGUUCACGGGUAACACAGUGGCCAUGUACCAUGGAUCAAGCUCUUUAGGGUAGAGAGUUGGACUUGACAUGAAAAUCCUGAGCAGCCAACAGUGGAUUCAGGCAACCCAACAGCACCUGUUUCAGGAUGAAACUUGUGUUUCUACACCCCUAGAUACAAAAACUUGAAACCUUAAUUCACAGUUGAGUAGAAACGCAAAUACAACAGACCAAAGCAAUACACAGUUAUGUCAACUCUGAUGUUUCACACCUGCUUAAAAGAAAUGGCUUAGAAAGCUGAUUUAUACAUACAAACAAUCCAUUGUGCCCAGAAGUUUCCUAACAUUCUUUUAUUAAAAACCAAAGAGCCAAAGAUUGCCCUGAUGCUCUUCAUUGUUAUAAAGCAGACUCUGAAGUAUUAAGUGAACUAUGUAUGAGCAAAGGACUCCCAACUGAUGCAGAGUUUAAAACUAGGUUUACAGUUUCCUAUUUUAUUGGCAUGGAUGUAUUUCUAAACUUAAAAACCCUUCUGGCAAGUUAUCUCAAUUUCUUAUGACAAAGUUUCUCACAACACACAAAUAUUUACAACAUAUACAUAUUUUUUCAGUCUUUUACAACUGGUUCUUAAAAGACAAACAAAUCAUAGGUUACCACAGAACAAAAGCUGUGACUUAGUUGUUUUUAAUUUGAUAAAACUAUCAUAAGUUAAAGUGAAUAGAUUUUUCUUUAAAUUCCUUGUAGCAUUUUACAAGUGCAACAGAAAAAUAUGAAGAACCAAUUUAGGAUAGCUGCAGUUCAUUGGAUAAAUGUUGCCCGUCGUAAUCACAUUAUUUCACAGCAAAUUCUUGAAAAAAUAAGCACCAAUCAUUCUUGCAAAGAACAAUUUUAUCUAAAAGUAUUGAAAAGUGUUAAAUACAAGGUGUUUAAUUUACGUAACAAGCAAUAAAUACACCAUAUCCAAACUUUAUUCUGCAUACUGCUACCCUUGUACAUAUAAUGUACUAAAAAGUCAGCAAAUUGUCAACAUCUUUUAAUAUUUUUUUUCUCUUUUUUUAAAGAAAUCAAUUUGACUUCCAACCAACGGUUUGCUACUAUAACAAAGGCCACAAACAGUACGUCUGGGACAGCAUACAGUGUUAAAACUGACAAACUCCAAGGGGAAAAAACCAUCUAGCAAAUAAAUCAGAAAGCUGUAGAUCAUUGCUGGUGAUAUUAACAUAUACUAGAAAACCUUAAUAUGCUGCUACUAUGAUUUUGUAAAUUGUUUAGUCAAAUAUUGUAAGAGCAAACUAACGCUCCUACUGAUCAAAAAUAAUUCUGUAGCCACACUGUAUUCUCAUUGUCCUGCAUGGAAAGAUCUGAUGCAAUUUCGUAACUUUGCUUGAGCCUUUAUUUUACAACAGAGCAUUACCUCUAACUCGGAAUU